GACGAACGCUGGCGGCGUGCUUAACACAUGCAAGUCGAACGGUAAGGCUCCAGCUUGCUGGGGUACAUGAGUGGCGAACGGGUGAGUAACACGUGGGUGACCUGCCCUGCACUUCGGGAUAAGCCUGGGAAACUGGGUCUAAUACCGGAUAGGACCGCACCGUGAGGGUGUGGUGGAAAGUUUUUUCGGUGUGGGAUGGGCCCGCGGCCUAUCAGCUUGUUGGUGGGGUAAUGGCCUACCAAGGCGGCGACGGGUAGCCGGCCUGAGAGGGUGGACGGCCACAUUGGGACUGAGACACGGCCCAGACUCCUACGGGAGGCAGCAGUGGGGAAUAUUGCACAAUGGGCGGAAGCCUGAUGCAGCGACGCCGCGUGGGGGAUGACGGCCUUCGGGUUGUAAACUCCUUUCACCAUCGACGAAGGGUUUCUGACGGUAGAUGGAGAAGAAGCACCGGCUAACUACGUGCCAGCAGCCGCGGUAAUACGUAGGGUGCGAGCGUUGUCCGGAAUUACUGGGCGUAAAGAGCUCGUAGGUGGUUUGUCGCGUCGUCUGUGAAAUUCCGGGGCUUAACUCCGGGCGUGCAGGCGAUACGGGCAUAACUUGAGUACUGUAGGGGAGACUGGAAUUCCUGGUGUAGCGGUGAAAUGCGCAGAUAUCAGGAGGAACACCGGUGGCGAAGGCGGGUCUCUGGGCAGUAACUGACGCUGAGGAGCGAAAGCAUGGGGAGCGAACAGGAUUAGAUACCCUGGUAGUCCAUGCCGUAAACGGUGGGCGCUAGGUGUGGGUUUCCUUCCACGGGAUCCGUGCCGUAGCUAACGCAUUAAGCGCCCCGCCUGGGGAGUACGGCCGCAAGGCUAAAACUCAAAGGAAUUGACGGGGGCCCGCACAAGCGGCGGAGCAUGUGGAUUAAUUCGAUGCAACGCGAAGAACCUUACCUGGGCUUGACAUAUACAGGAUCGCGCCAGAGAUGGUGUUUCCCUUGUGGCUUGUAUACAGGUGGUGCAUGGUUGUCGUCAGCUCGUGUCGUGAGAUGUUGGGUUAAGUCCCGCAACGAGCGCAACCCUUGUCUUAUGUUGCCAGCACGUUGUGGUGGGGACUCGUAAGAAACUGCCGGGGUUAACUCGGAGGAAGGUGGGGAUGACGUCAAAUCAUCAUGCCCCUUAUGUCCAGGGCUUCACACAUGCUACAAUGGUCGGUACAGUGGGUUGCCAGUCCGUGAGGGCGAGCUAAUCCCGCAAAGCCGGUCUCAGUUCGGAUCGGGGUCUGCAACUCGACCCCGUGAAGUCGGAGUCGCUAGUAAUCGCAGAUCAGCAACGCUGCGGUGAAUACGUUCCCGGGCCU
rnacentral:rRNA from 1 species